rnacentral:misc_RNA from 1 species
UGGUUCCGGCAUCGAUGAAGAACGCAGCGAAAUGCGAUAAGUAAUGUGAAUUGCAGAAUUCAGUGAAUCAUCGAAUCUUUGAACGCAUAUUGCGCCCUUUGGUAUUCCAUAGGGCAUGCCUGUUCGAGCGUCAUAAAAAAUUCAAACUGUUAUAUGUUUGGUAGUGGAAUUGGCAGUCUUGACUCUUUUGAAAAAGUUGCCUUUCCGAAUAGCAGCGCCGGCGUUCUACAACGUCCUGAAGCGUAGUAAAUUUGAUUAUCCUUCAAGAAUUGUAUUUUGAAUUGCCUGCUAUAAAAAUAUCUUCAUUUCUAAAUUUUGACCUCGAAUCAGGUAGGGAUACCCGCUGA